GACAGAGGUGCCAAGCGUUAGGCGGAAUCACUGGGCUUAAAGCGCGUGUAGGUGGCGGCCUAAGUACCUUGUGAAAUCCUGCGGCUCAACCGCAGAACUGCUCGGUAUACUGGGUCGCUUGAGCCAUCCAGGGGCAACUGGAACAAGCGGUGGAGCGGUGAAAUGCGUAGAUAUCUGGAGGAACACCGGUGGCGAAGGCGGCAUCCUGGACCGGCAUUGACGCUGAGGCGCGAAAGCCAGGGGAGCAAACGGG
rnacentral:rRNA from 1 species